AUACGGAGGAUGCAAGCGUUAUCCGGAUUUAUUGGGUUUAAAGGGUGCGUAGGCGGAUGAUUAAGCGUGAGGUGAAAUGCCACUGCUCAACAGUGGAACUGCCUCGCGAACUGGUUGUCUUGAAUGCUCCUGCCGUGGGAGGAAUGUGUGGUGUAGCGGUGAAAUGCAUAGAGAUCACACAGAACACCGAUUGCGAAGGCAUCUCACGAAGGGGUGAUUGACGCUGAGGCACGAAAGCGUGGGGAUCAAACAGGAUUAGAUUCCCUGGUAGUCCACGCAGUAAACGAUGAUAACUAACCGCUGGGUCGUAGUGAUUCAGUGGCCAAGCGAAAGCGAUAAGUUAUCCACCUGGGGAGUACGACCGCAAGGUUGAAACUCAAAUGAAUUGACGGGG
rnacentral:rRNA from 1 species